AUACGUAGGUGGCAAGCGUUGUCCGGAAUUACUGGGCGUAAAGGGUGCGCAGGCGGACAUUUAAGUGAGAUGUGAAAUACCCGGGCUUAACCCGGGCAGUGCAUUUCAAACUGGGUGUCUGGAGUGCAGGAGAGGAGAACGGAAUUCCUAGUGUAGCGGUGAAAUGCGUAGAGAUUAGGAAGAACACCAGUGGCGAAGGCGGUUCUCUGGACUGUAACUGACGCUGAGGCACGAAAGCGUGGGUAGCAAACAGGAUUAGAUACCCUGGUAGUCCACGCCGUAAACGAUGAGUACUAGGUGUAGGAGGUAUCGACCCCUUCUGUGCCGCAGUAAACACAAUAAGUACUCCGCCUGGGAAGUACGAUCGCAAGAUUAA
rnacentral:rRNA from 1 species